rnacentral:rRNA from 1 species
UACGGAGGGGGCUAGCGUUGUUCGGAAUUACUGGGCGUAAAGCGCACGUAGGCGGCGACUCAAGUCAGAGGUGAAAGCCCAGGGCUCAACCUUGGAAUUGCCUUUGAUACUGGCUGUCUUGAGUAUGGGAGAGGUUAGCGGAACUCCGAGUGUAGAGGUGAAAUUCGUAGAUAUUCGGAAGAACACCAGUGGCGAAGGCGGCUAACUGGCCCAUUACUGACGCUGAGGCUCGAAGGCGUGGGGAGCAAACAGGGAUUAGAACUAC